GACGAACGCUGGCGGCGUGCCUAAUACAUGCAAGUUGAGCGCUGAAGGUUGGUACUUGUACCCACUGGAUGAGCAGCGAACGGGUGAGUAACGCGUGGGGAAUCUGCCUUUGAGCGGGGGACAACAUUUGGAAACGAAUGCUAAUACCGCAUAAAACCUUUAAACACAAGUUUUAAGUUUGAAAGAUGCAAUUGCAUCACUCAAAGAUGAUCCCGCGUUGUAUUAGCUAGUUGGUGAGGUAAAGGCUCACCAAGGCGAUGAUACAUAGCCGACCUGAGAGGGUGAUCGGCCACCAUGGGACUGGGACACGGCCCAAACUCCUACGGGAGGCAGCAGGAGGGAAUCUUCGGCAAUGGGCGAAAGUCUGACCGAGCAACGCCGCGUGAGUGAAGAAGGGUGUCGGAUCGUAAAACUCUGUUGGUAGAGAAGAAAGUUGGUGAGAGUGGAAAGCUCAUCAAGUGACGGUAACUACCCAGAAAGGGACGGCUAACUACGUG
rnacentral:rRNA from 1 species